rnacentral:rRNA from 1 species
AGAGUUUGAUCCUGGCUCAGAUUGAACGCUGGCAGCAUGCCUUACACAUGCAAGUCGAACGGUAACGCGGGGCAACCUGGCGACGAGUGGCGAACGGGUGAGUAAUACAUCGGAACGUGCCCAGUAGUGGGGGAUAGCCCGGCGAAAGCCGGAUUAAUACCGCAUACGACCUACGGGUGAAAGCGGGGGACCGCAAGGCCUCGCGCUAUUGGAGCGGCCGAUGUCAGAUUAGGUAGUUGGUGGGGUAAAGGCCUACCAAGCCUGCGAUCUGUAGCUGGUCUGAGAGGACGACCAGCCACACUGGGACUGAGACACGGUCCAGACUCCUACGGGAGGCAGCAGUGGGGAAUUUUGGACAAUGGGCGCAAGCCUGAUCCAGCCAUGCCGCGUGCGGGAAGAAGGCCUUCGGGUUGUAAACCGCUUUUGUCAGGGAAGAAAUCCUUUGGGCUAAUACCCUGAAGGGAUGACGGUACCUGAAGAAUAAGCACCGGCUAACUACGUGCCAG